rnacentral:rRNA from 1 species
AGCAGCCGCGGUAAUUCCAGCUCCAAUAGCGUAUAUUAAAGUUGUUGCAGUUAAAAAGCUCGUAGUUGAAUUUCGGGAUCAAUAUUUCGGUCAUGCCGUUGGUAUGCACUGUUAUCAUUGAUUUCUCACCUUCUAAAGAACCGUAAUGCCAUUAAUUUGGUGUUACGGGGAAUUAGGACUGUUACCUUGAAAAAUUAGAGUGUUUAAAGCAGGCUCGCGCUUGAAUACAUUAGCAUGGAAUAAUGAAAUAGGACGUUUGACCCUAUUUUGUUGGUUUCUAGGAUCGACGUAAUGAUUAAUAGGGAUAGUUGGGGGCAUUAGUAUUCAAUUGUCAGAGGUGAAAUUCUUGGAUUUAUUGAAGACUAACUACUGCGAAAGCAUUUGCCAAGGAUGUUUUCAUUAAUCAAGAACGAAAGUUAGGGGAUCGAAGACGAUCAGAUACCGUCGUAGUCUUAACCAUAAACUAUGCCGACUAGGGAUCGGAUGAUGUUAAUUUUUUAAUGACUCA